rnacentral:rRNA from 1 species
UACAGAGGUCUCAAGCGUUGUUCGGAUUCAUUGGGCGUAAAGGGCGCGUAGGCGGCCACCGCAAGUCGACUGUGAAAUCUCCGGGCUUAACCCGGAAAGGUCAGCCGAUACUGCGGGGCUAGAGUGCAGAAGGGGCAACUGGAAUUCUCGGUGUAGCGGUGAAAUGCGUAGAUAUCGAGAGGAACACCUGCGGCGAAGGCGGCAUCCUGGACCGGCAUUGACGCUGAGGAGCGAAAGCUAGGGGAGCAAACGGG